AGGUAAGCUACUAAGAGCGAAUGGUGGAUGCCUUGACUGGUAAAGGCGAUGAAGGACGUACUAGACUGCGAUAAGCUACGGGGAGCUGUCAAGAAGCUUUGAUCCGUAGAUUUCCGAAUGGGGCAACCCAAUGUAUAGAGAUAUACAUUACCUAUAUAGGAGCGAACGAGGGGAAUUGAAACAUCUUAGUACCCUCAGGAAAAGAAAUCAAUAGAGAUUGCGUCAGUAGCGGCGAGCGAAAGCGCAAGAGGGCAAACCCAGUGCUUGCACUGGGGGUUGUAGGACUGCAAUGUGCAAGAGGUAAGUUUAGCAGAACAUUCUGGAAAGUAUAACCAUAGAGGGUGAUAGUCCCGUAUGCGAAAAACAAACCUUAGCUAGCAGUAUCCUGAGUAGGGCGGGACACGAGGAAUCCUGUCUGAAUCCGGGUCGACCACGAUCCAACCCUAAAUACUAAUACCAGAUCGAUAGUGCACAAGUACCGUGAGGGAAAGGUGAAAAGAACUGAGGUGAUCAGAGUGAAAUAGAACCUGAAACCAUUUGCUUACAAUCAUUCAGAGCCCUAUGUAGCAAUACAGGGUGAUGGACUGCCUUUUGCAUAAUGAGCCUGCGAGUUGUGGUGUCUGGCAAGGUUAAGCAAACGCGAAGCCGUAGCGAAAGCGAGUCUGAAUAGGGCACUUAGUCAGAUGCUGCAGACCCGAAACGAAGUGAUCUAUCCAUGAGCAAGUUGAAGCUAGUGUAAGAACUAGUGGAGGACUGAACCCAUAGGCGUUGAAAAGCCCCGGGAUGACUUGUGGAUAGGGGUGAAAGGCCAAUCAAACUUCGUGAUAGCUGGUUCUCUCCGAAAUAUAUUUAGGUAUAGCGUUGUGUCGUAAUAUAAGGGGGUAGAGCACUGAAUGGGCUAGGGCAUACACCAAUGUACCAAACCCUAUCAAACUCCGAAUACCUUAUAUGUAAUCACAGCAGUCAGGCGGCGAGUGAUAAAAUCCGUCGUCAAGAGGGAAACAACCCAGACUACCAGCUAAGGUCCCUAAAUCUUACUUAAGUGGAAAACGAUGUGAAGUUACUUAAACAACCAGGAGGUUGGCUUAGAAGCAGCCAUCCUUUAAAGAAAGCGUAAUAGCUCACUGGUCUAGUGAUUUUGCGCGGAAAAUAUAACGGGGCUAAAGUAAGUACCGAAGCUGUAGACUUAGUUUACUAAGUGGUAGGAGAGCGUUCUAUUUGCGUCGAAGGUAUACCGGUAAGGAGUGCUGGAGCGAAUAGAAGUGAGCAUGCAGGCAUGAGUAGCGAUAAUUAAUGUGAGAAUCAUUAACGCCGUAAACCCAAGGUUUCCUACGCGAUGCUCGUCAUCGUAGGGUUAGUCGGGUCCUAAGUCGAGUCCGAAAGGGGUAGACGAUGGCAAAUUGGUUAAUAUUCCAAUACCAACAUUAGUGUGCGAUGGAAGGACGC
rnacentral:rRNA from 1 species